rnacentral:lncRNA from 1 species
UGGGUAUAGAAACAUUGCAUGAUACUUCAUUGGUAUGUGUGACUUUUGUGUUUCCAUUUACCCUUUUAAAGGGAAAUUUAAUGUCUAAGAUCCAGAAACCAUUUUGGUCUCUAAGGCCUGUUAAUUGCUAUUUCCCUAAGAAGACAGGAUGAAGAUCUUCAGAUACACACUGGGGCAACUCUCCAGAGUUCUCUGGUUGUUUAUAUUUCUCUCUACAUCUCCAUUCACUAGCCUCUGAAAUACCAAUGUGGCACACCAGGGGACACACUGAAUGCCAUUAUCCAUUAGAUUUUAUUUAUUUUCUGAGUGGCAGUAAUUGUUAACACAUGCGGAUCUUUUAUGUAACUUGAUGAUCAGCUAUGGGCCUUCAAGCAAGUAUACAGAUAUAACCUAUGAACUAUGGGAGGGGAGUGAUGUUGUCUGGUUUUCCUGUACUAUGUUUUCCUAACAAGGAGGUCAGUUCCACUGUUUCUGAAGGUCUCUCCAUCCCCGUCUUGGAUCCUUUGCUCAGCCCUCCAUAAAACUGGGGAAACAGCAUUGGACAAGACCAAACCCUUUGAAUAUGGGUACCAGGUAAGAGUCCAAGACAGUCUAUGGGUCCUCUAACAGCGGAGCCAGUCUUUCUCCAUAGAGCACAAAUGGACUUUGGGAGCCCAUUCCCUAUAGAGGGAUACUAUUGCAGCCCAGAUACAGCAAGGAAUGUCUAGAUCCUCCCCCAGAC